rnacentral:ncRNA from 5 species
UAAUACUGCCUGGUAAUGAUG